ensembl:lincRNA
ACGAAGAGGCAGUCCUGUUCUUAGGCAUCCCAGCUGCCUGGUGCCCUGUAAAAAGUGCUAAGACCGUUCUCGACCCUUUCAUUUCCAUUGCACUCACUCAAAAGUACCUGGAAACUUUUCUCCAGCUUGGAAUUACAAUGAUUUUAGAAAGCAAAUGUAUUUGCUGUAUGCACGGAGUCGAAUCAUUCCCCAUCCCUUUCUCCACAAUCAAAACUAACACUUUCCCAUUACAACUAUCUUUAAAGUGAGGCAGAGAGAACGGAAUCUGAAUUGCAGAGUAAGAUGCUGAGCAAAGAUCUGACAAAACCCACUUCAGCCUUUAAAUAAUCUGAAGCCCUCCCUUUCUCACUGGUUGUAAAACGUGAUAGGGACUUGGAUUGCGUUGACGAUUCAUACGUCUGUAAUUUCUUUUAAAUGCCCACGUCAGGGUAUUUUUUGUUUGUUUCCAGUCUCACUCAGAGUUUUCCAGAUCAAGUUUCAGUCGUGAACCACCACUCCCCAUAGCACCCCCCCCCCGACUUCUUCCUCCACUCCUCUUUCCAACUUGGCUGCCCAGCAGUUGGGAAAGCCUUCUCUCCACUUGCCGAGAAAGUGGUGGCAUCCCAGGGCUUCCCGCUCCCUGAAGCCGCACGGGAUCCCGCCAGACACCUUCACAGAGCACGCGGCGCUUCCGCCACCAAACUGGGUAUCACCCCGAGGAGGGCAGCGCGGCCGACUCCCCGCCCCCACCGCGCGCGCAGCCUCGGGGCUGGCUCACUGGAGCAGCCCGGGAGCCCCGAGCUCCCCGAAGCGGGGCGCUGUGCCCCGCUCCCCAGAUUCCCCGUUUCCUGCCUUUUUCUGUCAAAUGGGAUUUGCUGGACUGAACCACGUUCGCCGCCCGGCUCCCCCUCCUCCCUCCUCCUGGCCGCGUCGGGUCCGGGAAAGCACCGAGGCUCCCAUGCUGUGACCAAUCAGGUGGGCAUUUCAGGUCAGCCGAGUCACCCGAGGAGGUGGGAGUGCUAGACACUGCCGGGAAGAUGGAUUCCGGGGCCGAAGGGUGUAAUUAAGGAUUGCCACCCCCGGCGGGCGGCCCGUCCUUCAGCGAGCCUCUGAAAAUGACCUGUGCCUUCCCUUCCCGAGUGUCUUCUCUUCCGAAACUGAAAAGCGCCAGUGACCUUCGGACGGGAGAGGGCUGCACUAAACACGCAGACUUCCUUCCGAGCCGCAGCCCUGCACUGUAGAACAAGUGUCCGCGCCCGGGUGCAAGUGCCCGGGCCUCCGAGGAACGUGACCUGGCCAGGGCGCACACUGGGGUCCUCUGAAGCUCCGGUCCCCAUCCGUAUUCAAACGCAUUUACACAUUCUCUCUCUCCCCGCUCUCCCCCUCCUCUUUCGCCUCCCCUGCCCUCCUCCUUCUUUUCUUCCUCCUGGCGGAUUAGCAGCCCAACACUGCCCCUGUCUCAAGUUUGUUAUGGGAAGGGAAAAAAGUUUACUGCUUUUCGCGACACACUGGCACUUGCUACUCACUCAAGUUCCCACCGAAACUCCAGCUCCCGGAGCCCAUUCCUCUUCCCAGGCCCCUGAGAUGCAGACACCACCCUCAACCCUCCCUCCUCGCAGGGCUUCCUAAAUCUGCUUCGAGUUGUCCUUCUUCCCAGUUUUGGAAUCUGACACCCAUAACCUUCCCGGCUGUCAGGCUCGUCCACUCCCUGCCAGCUUGUGGCGCCUUUACAGUGCAGCGGCAGGCGUGGAGCCCGCUCCUGCGGUGGAUGGAGCGCGAGGUUCCCCGCCGGGCGUCCCAGCAUUUCCCGGCCCUGCCCAAGGCCCUGCUGCCAGCCGGCCAGUGGCUCAGAGUCAGUGCCUCGGUCUGCCCCGACCGCUGCCAACCUGUCACGACAGCUUGGCAGAGGAAAUGAUACUGGAGGAGCCCGGUCACCGCACCCUCCCCUGGCAACUCCAGAGCUGGGGCUACGGACCUUACCUAACUUGGCGGGUAGGAAAGAGAUUUGUAUUUUCACUUGCAGCUGCGUAUAGGGCAAGAUCGAAUCUAGCGCUCGCAAAAGCAAAGGGCAACGCUUCCUAGGAAAGCCUGAGUCUUUAUGAUCGAGUUUCUCCAAAGUUUGGGGUGGAUCUCAUUUGUGAACUCAAAUUAGCCGUUCUGGACCCACAGUCUAAGCUCCCGAAGUUGCUAAGUGACCCAGCGCACCACAAUGUGUCAAGAAGUCUCACAACUAAGCGAACCCCACCUGGUUCCUGGGGCACUAGUGACGCACCACAGACGCACCUUUCCGGGAACAAUCAAGAGUUGCCCUGGGGUGCUUCGUACUCUUUCCCGCCGUAGUGAAUUUCAUACUUGUAAAAAAAAAAAGAGGGUGGGGUGGGGUGGGGUCAGAGGAAUGUAUUUCUCAUUCUAUCCGUUCUCAUCUUGAGAAGUUGGUCAACUGUGCAAAUAUGCGCCAGAUAUUAAAUGAUGAUCAUGCAAACUGCUCAAAACUUGCACUCCUGAUAUAAUCCUAAGGAAACUGAGUGUUUCAUAAAUCAACUUUGUGGCCCAGAUCCCACAAAAACAUUUUAAGUGUUUAAAAACUUUUACAACUGUCCAAGUGAGACUCCCCCUUGCUCUUCUGUACCUUGCUCUCUAGGAAUACACAAUGAAGACAAAAGACACUGCCCCAUUCCUACAGAAGCCAGAGCGGAGAGCUGCGUCAGGGACAUAGGGAGGGGGUUAAUCUCUUUUUUUUUUUUUUUUUUUUUUUUGUAGAACCCUCAUUAUAGCUAACGCUAGUAAUAAACGAAGGAGACAAUAGAACUCAUGAAACUUAGAAAAGGUAAUAAAUCUUGGCGCCUGUUCCUAGUCUACUUCCCGGUUACAUGAUUUUCAAAGUUUUUAAGUUUGUGGUGGUGAACAUUCACCAAAGUGGACCCAAUAUAUAUAUAUAUAUAUUUAAAAAAAUAAAACCCUAGAACUCAUGACUUGCCCUGUGCAUUCAGUGCCCUAGGUGGCGAUGGACAAAGCGCACAGCUGUUCCCGCCAACGUCCUCCCGUGUCCCGAGGGGCAGCCUGUAGUAAUUCAGGCAGUGUGUGUAUGUGUUAAAUUUGGGGAGGGGGAAAUGAGAGAGAAAGAUCCGUCAUUUGAGGACUUUAGGAAAAGCUGACACGCAUUGCCAAAGAGUACUACUCUCUGCCUCCUCCAAACGCAUCCCUGGAAAGCAGAAAGGCAGCUCCCUACGUGACCAUGAGCCACUUUGCCUCCCCGAACUGUUGUCCUGGGAGGACGAGGAGGGCGGGUAGCUCACAUCUUACCCUUCGCAGCGAUAAAAACUAGAGUAGGAGAAGAAAUGCAAGACAGUGCAGUCUGCUGUGCAGACCUCUGGCUGCUGCACACAGCAAACUCUUCUGGCUGGUGACUUUGCGGUGUUAACGCAGCCGGCCGUGCGCGGGGAUAAUGGGGCCGCCGAGCUGGCGGCAUCGCUGUCCCUUGGGCCCCUCUUGUCACACAGACAUGCCGCUCUCCGCAAAGAGAAUGUGGCAGAGCUUCCAGCACAGCCCGCGUCCGUAUGCCUAGAAAUGUAUGCCUGCGGCCUUAGUGAGCCUCGGGGAAGGCAAAGGCUAAACCUCCGGAUGUGCUUUGAGGUUAGGAAGGCUGCCCCUGUGUCUUCAGAACUGGGAAAGGGCCAGGCUCAUGCCCGGAUGCGGUUGCAGGGCCAGACCUCAGUCAGGAGUCGCCCCCCCACUUAAAGGUGAUUCUUCCCCAUUACAGUCAGCAUCACGUGAGCCUCCUCCGGAGACUUGAUUCGGA